rnacentral:rRNA from 1 species
CCUACGGGGUGCAGCAGUCGAGAAUCAUUCACAAUGGGGGAAACCCUGAUGGUGCGACGCCGCGUGGGGGAAUGAAGGUCUUCGGAUUGUAAACCCCUGUCAUGUGGGAGCAAAUUAAAAAGAUAGUACCACAAGAGGAAGAGACGGCUAACUCUGUGCCAGCAGCCGCGGUAAUACAGAGGUCUCAAGCAUUGUUCGGAAUCACUGGGCGUAAGGCGUGCGUAGGCUGUUUCGUAAGUCGUGUGUGAAAGGCGCGGGCUCAACCCGCGGACGGCACAUGAUACUGCGAGACUAGAGUAAUGGAGGGGGAACCGGAAUUCUCGGUGUAGCAGUGAAAUGCGUAGAUAUCGAGAGGAACACUCGUGGCGAAGGCGGGUUCCUGGACAUUAACUGACGCUGAGGCACGAAGGCCAGGGGAGCGAAAGGGAUUAGAUACCCCGGUAGUC